UUUUCUUCACCACUGAAAUUUAAGAUCCAUGAUGACAGCGAUCCUGUCUCUCUGAUGUUCUGCUUUAUCCCUGGUCCCCAGUACCUGGUGAUAGGAGCCACUCAGUAGGCAAUUACUGGAUCCCAUCCAGGAUACCACAGUGCUUGUAAUCAUCAUGUUUCCUUAUUCUCCUCUGGUGGAGAAGCAGAGGGAGAGGGAAAGCAGACCUUGCAAUGAGUGCAGACCCCACUGUGGGGGUCUAUCCCAUGACCCCAAGAUCAUGACCUGAGCUGAAAUCAAGAGUUGGACACUUAACCAACUAAACCACACUGGCACCCCUGUAGUUUGUUUCUUUAUAUUGCUGAUUUGUAUUCCAUUAUGUAAUGACAUGUCAUAUUUAUCCAUUUAUCAAUUGUUUUAUAUUUGUAUUGUUUUUAGGUUUUGGCUGCUAUGUAUAUUCACACACAUUUUUGCAUAUUCCUUUUGUAAAUAUGUUUUCAUUUAACUUGGAUAAAUAUCUAGAAGUGGAAUUAGUAAGCAACAUGACAAAUGUGUGUUUAUUUAUGAAAAUGCCAAAUUAAUUCCAAAGAAGUUUCAUUUUACAUUCCCAUGAGCAAUAUAUGUAAUAUAUGAGAGUUCUAGUUUCUCCUAACUCUCUGUAGUUCUUAGUAUUGCCAUUUUAUUAUAAAUAUUCUAGUGAGUAUAUAAUGGAUUCUCAUUAUUUUUCACUUUUAAAUGGCUUCUACUUUUUCUUUUUAAAGAUUUUAUUUGUUUAUUUGGGAGAA